rnacentral:lncRNA from 1 species
GGGAGAUGUGUUUGUACUACUCUUUUACCACAUAAUUUUGCACAAUGAAAAAACAUAAUUCAACUGUUUACAUCAUAAUCGAUUCAUUGGUAUUAUUAGUUAGUUAAUUAGUGUAGAUUGUAGUGGUUUGCAAAAUGAAGAAUGAAUUGUUUGAUUUGAAGACUAGAUGGGAUAGCACAUCAAAGAUAUUGGGGUGUACAAUAAGGAAUUUAGGAUCCACAUAAUGCCAUAGCAGAGUAUUGUGGGGAGUGAAAGCUCAUAAUCCAGAGAUAUUGUUUCAGUUGAGCCGGUUACUAUCAAAAUGUUGCUACCUAGCUACGCUUGCACCUUUUAUUUAUAUUCUUGUUGAAACAAGCCCUCAACAAAAUUGGUGCUAGUACCUCUAGUAGUAUCUACUAGUGUUCAGUUCAGAGAGUCCUUUACUCAAGAUCCUUUGACCAAUAAUACACACACAUAAAACAUAACUUCCUAAAAUGGUUCCCACAAGUAAAUUUUUUUUAAUUUACACAAUCUUCUUCCUCUAGAUUUCAUAAAGAUGCCACCGGCAAGAAGGGCGGUUGCCUCCCCCACUUCGCCACACUGGUGACCAGCACCACCUUGCCAGUAUUCAUGUCCCCGCACUUGCAACCCUGCCCAUGCAACGGCCAUGACCUCACUCCCUACCACAACAUCUAAGCCCCACACUGUUAUUGUGUUCCAUUUGCCUCCACACUUUGUGUGACCUUGGUUGACCCUACUUACUGAUGGCCGAGGCCCCACCCCUUGCGCUGGUGGCUGAGCAUAGUUUUACUCGUCCACGGCCAAGUGCCCCCACACCCCACCCCACCACCACCACCCCUCACCCCAUGAUGGUGAAGUCGAUGGUCGUGUGAAUCUGCACACCACCCAUUGCCGAUGGCGCGCCACUCCACACAUGCCAAGAGUUAGAGGGAGCGAACAAUAAGGUGUAUAUAGGGCUCACUUGGCAUGGAGUCACGCGCUAUCGUUGCUCGCUACAUCUAGCGAUGUUUCUUUCUCUUUCGUACAUGGAGGUCCAGUAGAGAGCCAUAUAUAUCAAUCUCGUUGUGGAUGCCCUAACUUAGCAAAUUUAAGUGUGGUAGACUGGUAGGUCAUAAUAGGACAACAUUGAGUUAAGGUCAAAAUGGGUGUGAAACGUUAUGUACAUCCAACAAAUAAAAGUGACUAACCAGCUUGCAUAUAAAUAAGCACCACAGUUCUACUUGUAUCAUAUCUUACUGUCACUGAUGCUAGUAGCAUCGGUAGUUACUGAUAGUAUAGUAUAGAAGAAGCUCGUUGUCACCUUGCUUGGUUGUCGCAUGAAAAAUGCCGCAUAAUUUGGAGGAGCCGAUUGCAUAUGGUAGGAGUAGAAUCGAUCUGCUGUUGGGAUUGGGAUGCAUGCGGAAUAUGGGCGGCACUGGGAGCCAGACUGGUGCCGGAGUUUGAGUUUUUCAUAUUUUCGGUGCUAUGUUAAUGUUAGUUUUCUUGUGCACAAGUUGACGUGAUUAUCGCCAGUUCUACGCUGGCGGAUGGUGAUCAAGGCUUAGUCACUGGCACCACCGCAUCCGAGCUUAGUGUUGGCGAAGUCCCCUCGUUGGAUUUUUCAGCCGGACCCUCAUGGUUGGCUGGUGUGUCCUACCCAUAGAUGAGCAAGAGACAAGAGCUGGUGGCCGCCUUUUGGAGGGCGCAAGGACGGACCCAUGCUGGGCUGGCUUUGUGCUAGGCAUGCAAAGCAAGCGCUCGCAUGGACAGCCCGCACAAGUGCACAACGCGUUAACACACAGCAAUCGCGGUGUCAGCAACUUGGGCAUCCUGCAUGAGCCUACUAGGGCCAACUCCGCUUACCGCUUUGUCCUACUGGGCCUUGCAGCACAAAGCCAGCAGAUUGUUUUACCGACAAGUAAAACAGAAACCCUUGGAUGGGUAACGUGAUGCUCAAAUGAACACAGAAAAAAGAAGAAACAC